rnacentral:rRNA from 1 species
ACUCAAAGGAAUAGACGGGGACCCGCACAAGCGGUGGAUGAUGUGGAUUAAUUCGAUGCAACGCGAAAAACCUUACCUACCCUUGACAUGUCUGGAAUCCUGAAGAGAUUUGGGAGUGCUCGAAAGAGAGCCAGAACACAGGUGCUGCAUGGCUGUCGUCAGCUCGUGUCGUGAGAUGUUGGGUUAAGUCCCGCAACGAGCGCAACCCUUGUCAUUAAUUGCCAGCAUUUAGUUGGGCACUUUAAUGAGACUGCCGGUGACAAACCGGAGGAAGGUGGGGAUGACGUCAAGUCCUCAUGGCCCUUAUGGGUAGGGCUUCACACGUCAUACAAUGGUGCAUACAGAGGGCUGCCAAGUCGUGAGACGGAGCAAAUCCCAGAAAGUGCAUCGUAGUCCGGAUUGAAGUCUGCAACUCGACUUCAUGAAGUUGGAAUCGCUAGUAAUCGCGGAUCAGCAUGUCGCGGUGAAUACGUUCCCGGGUCUUGUACACACCGCCCGU